GAUGAAGAACGUAGCGAAAUGCGAUAAGUAGUGUGAAUUGCAGAAUUCAGUGAAUCAUCGAAUCUUUGAACGCACAUUGCGCCCUUUGGUAUUCCAAAGGGCAUGCCUGUUCGAGCGUCAUUUGUACCCUCAAGCUUUGCUUGGUGUUGGGCGUCUUGUCUCUAGCUUUGCUGGAGACUCGCCUUAAAGUAAUUGGCAGCCGGCCUACUGGUUUCGGAGCGCAGCACAAGUCGCACUCUCUAUCAGCAAAGGUCCAGCAUCCAUUAAGCCUUUUUUUCAACUUUUGACCUCGGAUCAGGUAGGGAUACCCGCUGAACUUAAGCAUAUCAAUAAGCGGAGGA
rnacentral:misc_RNA from 1 species